rnacentral:rRNA from 1 species
GACGAACGCUGGCGGCGUGCUUAACACAUGCAAGUCGAACGGAAAGGCCCUGCUUUUGUGGGGUGCUCGAGUGGCGAACGGGUGAGUAACACGUGACCCACCUGCCCUUGACUUUGGGAUAACUUCAGGAAACUGGGGCUAAUACCGGAUAGGAGCUCCUGCUGCAUGGUGGGGGUUGGAAAGUUUCGGCGGUUGGGGAUGGACUCGCGGCUUAUCAGCUUGUUGGUGGGGUAGUGGCUUACCAAGGCUUUGACGGGUAGCCGGCCUGAGAGGGUGACCGGCCACAUUGGGACUGAGAUACGGCCCAGACUCCUACGGGAGGCAGCAGUGGGGAAUAUUGCAAAAUGGGCGGAAGCCUGAUGCAGCAACGCCGCAUGCGGGAUGACGGCCUUCGGGUUGUAAGCCGCUUUCGCCUGUGACGAAGCGUGAGUGACGGUAAUGGGUAAAGAAGCACCGGCUAACUACGUG